UACGUAGGGGGCAAGCGUUAUCCGGAUUUACUGGGUGUAAAGGGAGCGUAGACGGCGAUGCAAGUCUGAAGUGAAAGGCGGGGGCCCAACCCCCGGACUGCUUUGGAAACUGUAUGGCUGGAGUGCAGGAGGGGCAGGCGGAAUUCCUGGUGUAGCGGUGAAAUGCGUAGAUAUCAGGAGGAACACCGGUGGCGAAGGCGGCCUGCUGGACUGCAACUGACGUUGAGGCCCGAAAGCGUGGGGAGCAAACAGG
rnacentral:rRNA from 1 species